GUGGGGAAUCUUGCGCAAUGGGGGGAACCCUGACGCAGCGACGCCGCGUGCGGGACGGAGGCCUUCGGGUCGUAAACCGCUUUCAGCAGGGAAGAGUCAAGACUGUACCUGCAGAAGAAGCCCCGGCUAACUACGUGCCAGCAGCCGCGGUAAUACGUAGGGGGCGAGCGUUAUCCGGAUUCAUUGGGCGUAAAGCGCGCGUAGGCGGCCCGGCAGGCCGGGGGUCGAAGCGGGGGGCUCAACCCCCCGAAGCCCCCGGAACCUCCGCGGCUUGGGUCCGGUAGGGGAGGGUGGAACACCCGGUGUAGCGGUGGAAUGCGCAGAUAUCGGGUGGAACACCGGUGGCGAAGGCGGCCCUCUGGGCCGAGACCGACGCUGAGGCGCGAAAGCUGGGGGAGCGAACAGGAUUAGAAACCCUUGUAGUCC
rnacentral:rRNA from 1 species